CAGCAGCCACGGUAAUACAGAGGGUGCGAGCGUUAAUCGGAUUUACUGGGCGUAAAGCGUGCGUAGGCGGCUUCUUAAGUCGGAUGUGAAAUCCCUGAGCUUAACUUAGGAAUUGCAUUCGAUACUGGGAAGCUAGAGUAUGGGAGAGGAUGGUAGAAUUCCAGGUGUAGCGGUGAAAUGCGUAGAGAUCUUGAGGAAUACCGAUGGCGAAGGCAGCCAUCUGGCCUAAUACUGACGCUGAUGUACGAAAGCAUGGGGAGCAAACAGGAUUAGAUACCCCGGUAGUCCCUGUCUCUUAUAC
rnacentral:rRNA from 1 species